rnacentral:rRNA from 1 species
GACGAACGCUGGCGGCGUGCUUAACACAUGCAAGUCGAACGGAAAGGCCCUGCUUGCCGGGUACUCGAGUGGCGAACGGGUGAGUAACACGUGGGUGAUCCGCCCUGCACUUCGGGAUAAGCCUGGGAAACUGGGUCUAAUACCGGAUAGGAGCCAUUUUUAGUGUGAUGGUUGGAAAGUUUUUUCGGUGUAGGAUGAGCUCGCGGCCUAUCAGCUUGUUGGUGGGGUAAUGGCCUACCAAGGCGGCGACGGGUAGCCGGCCUGAGAGGGUGGACGGCCACAUUGGGACUGAGAUACGGCCCAGACUCCUACGGGAGGCAGCAGUGGGGAAGAUUGCACAAUGGGCGCAAGACUGAUGCAGCGACGCCGCGUGGGGGAUGACGGACUUCGGGUUGUAAACUCCUUUCGCUAGGGACGAAGCUUUUUGUGACGGUACCUAGAUAAGAAGCACCGGCUAACUACGUG